GGCAAGAUGGCCGAGUGGUCUAAGGCGCUGCGUUCAGGUCGCAGUCCUUUAGUUAGGGCGUGGGUUCGAAUCCCACUCUUGUCA